UCUAAAGGAAAGGCUUUUAACGUUUAAACUUGCCUAGAAUAGUCGAGCAACUGCUGGUGUUUGUGAACUUGACAAAGACCGAGCUGCAAGUGGCAGCUCGCUGCAAAGUUUUUAAAUUUUCCUGAACAAAACUCCAGUUUAAAUUGGCGCUGGACAGGAAAUGUCCAAAUAAAGCAUUGGAGUGGUUAGCAAGCAAUACUCUGAGGACACGAGCUUUUUAAUGUGGAGUACAGCGCGGAGAAUGAGGAUAAGAUUAAACUGAAGAGAACUUAGACAUCAGAAGAGGGACGAUUGGAAAGUGGUAAAUUGAUUUAAGAGGUAAUAGUAGUUGUAACUUUGCACCGCAAUGUACGGUCUUUCAGGAGCUUGUUCAGAAUCUCCAUUCAUCAAAAAGUAGAAAAGAAAUCUAAAGGUGGCUGAGUUCAAAACUUAAGUUUGACAGAACAAAGUCGUCUAGUGAGGAUUAAAAUUUCUUUUCUCACUUGUUCGAGAUGCUUAAAGCUAUUUGUGCCGUGGUCAAUCCGAUUUAUUUCGAAAAUUUAAAAUCCAAAGUCUGUUAAGAUGCUAAGAGAGACACUAGAAGCAAUUUUAUCAGAAGUGUAAUUCCAAACAUAGCCGUGAUUUUCUAAGACUUCAACUAGAGUUCAAACUUUUUUCGGAAUUUAAUUCGUUCGCUGAAUAAGAUAGUCUCUAGUUAACCUCUCUUUAGAACAGUGAUAAUGAGUUAUUCAUUCAUGUAUUCCAAAAAUUCAGACAGACUACACGUCGCUGCCGUUUAUAGUCAACUCUGUAAUUCCUUCUUCGUUUUUUUUUUCAUUCUCAUUUAAAAUUUUUUUUUACAUAUCAGUUCCUCUUAAUGUUGUAUAUGUAUUCUUAACAAGCCAGUUUAUGAAUCCACAAUUUUACUUCGGUAUUUUAGUCUGUGUCAAAUUCGUAUCGCUUUGUUAUUGUUCUUUUUUGCUCGCAUUCAGUUUGCCAAUUAUUGUAAAGUCUUCACUUGUUAC